rnacentral:rRNA from 1 species
GAUGAACGCUGGCGGCGUGCCUAAUACAUGCAAGUCGAGCGAAUGGAUUAAGAGCUUGCUCUUAUGAAGUUAGCGGCGGACGGGUGAGUAACACGUGGGUAACCUGCCCAUAAGACUGGGAUAGCUCCGGGAAACCGGGGCUAAUACCGGAUAACAUUUUGAACCGCAUGGUUCGAAAUUGAAAGGAGGCUUCGGCUGUCACUUAUGGAUGGACCCGCGUCGCAUUAGCUAGUUGGUGAGGCAACGGCUCACCAAGGCAACGAUGCGUAGCCGACCUGAGAGGGUGAUCGGCCACACUGGGACUGAGACACGGCCCAGACUCCUACGGGAGGCAGCAGUAGGGAAUCUUCCGCAAUGGACGAAAGUCUGACGGAGCAACGCCGCGUGAGUGAUGAAGGCUUUCGGGUCGUAAAACUCUGUUGUUAGGGAAGAACAAGUGCUAGUUGAAUAAGCUGGCACCUUGACGGUACCUAACCAGAAAGCCACGGCUAACUACGUGCCAGCCGCCGCCGUAA